rnacentral:rRNA from 1 species
GAUGAACGCUGGCGGCGUGCCUAAUACAUGCAAGUCGAGCGAACAGACGAGGAGCUUGCUCCUCUGACGUUAGCGGCGGACGGGUGAGUAACACGUGGAUAACCUACCUAUCAGACUGGGAUAACUUCGGGAAACCGGAGCUAAUACCGGAUAAUAUAUUGCACCGCAUGGUUCAAUAGUGAAAGACGGCUUUGCUGUCACUUAUAGAUGGAUCCGCGCCGCAUUAGCUAGUUGGUAAGGUAACGGCUUACCAAGGCAACGAUGCGUAGCCGACCUGAGAGGGGGGUCGGCCACGCUGGAACUGAGACACGGUCCAGAGUCCUACGCGAGGCAGCAGUAGGGAACCCUCCGCAGUGGGGGAGAACCUGACGGAGCAACGCCGCGCGGGUGGUGAAGCUGCUCGGACCGUGAGCCCCUGUUAUCAGGGGAUAACAAAAGUGUAGUGGAAGGUAGUCUCCGUGACGGUACCUGCGCAGAAAGGCCCGGCUAACUACGUG